rnacentral:rRNA from 1 species
GAUGAACGCUGGCGGCGUGCUUAACACAUGCAAGUCGAACGGAAAGGCCCAAGCUUGCUUGGGUACUCGAGUGGCGAACGGGUGAGUAACACGUGGGUGAUCUGCCCUGCACUUCGGGAUAAGCCUGGGAAACUGGGUCUAAUACCGGAUAGGACCACAUUUUGGAUGGUGUGGUGGAAAGUUUUUCGGUGUGGGAUGAGCUCGCGGCCUAUCAGCUUGUUGGUGGGGUAAUGGCCUACCAAGGCGUCGACGGGUAGCCGGCCUGAGAGGGUGUACGGCCACAUUGGGACUGAGAUACGGCCCAGACUCCUACGGGGGGCAGCAGUGGGGAAUAUUGCACAAUGGGCGCAAGCCUGAUGCAGCGACGCCGCGUGGGGGAUGACGGCCUUCGGGUUGUAAACUCCUUUCGCUAGGGACGAAGCGUUAUGUGACGGUACCUGGAGAAGAAGCACCGGCUAACUACGUG